rnacentral:siRNA from 1 species
AUUUGCUAGUUAUAUUUAUAAAAA